AGCUCCAAUAGCGUAUAUUAAAGUUGUUGCGGUUAAAAAGCUCGUAGUUGGGUUUCUGUUGAGGGCAGCCGGUCCGCCUCCUGGGCGUGUAUCUGUUUGACCUCGGCAUCCUCUCAAAAACGUUUCCGCGCUUGAUUGCGUGGAGCGGGGUUUGAGACUUUUACUUUGAGGAAAUUAGAGUGUUCACGGCAGGCAGUCGCCUUGAAUAUAUUAGCAUGGAAUAAUGAUAUAGGAUCUUGGUUCUAUUUUGUUGGUUUCUAGGGCUAGGAUAAUGAUUAAUAGGGACAAUUGGGGGCAUUCGUAUUAACGCGUCAGAGGUGGAAUUCUUAGAUUGCGUUACGACGAACUACUGCGAAAGCAUUUGCCAAGGAUGUUUUCA
rnacentral:rRNA from 1 species